AGGCCUCUCUAGGCUCUCCGGCUGAGCCGGGUUGGGGCCCGGGUUGGGCCGCCCGGGGACUCUGGAGCAUUGGGAUUUGUAGCGCGCCCUCUGGGUAGGCGGCUGUAGCGGAGAGGCGUGCGGGAUCGGGAUGUCGGGGCUGCUCACGGACCCGGAGCAGAGAGCGCAGGAGCCGCGGUACCCCGGCUUCGUGCUGGGGCUGGAUGUGGGCAGUUCUGUGAUCCGCUGCCACGUCUAUGACCGGGCGGCGCGGGUCUGCGGCUCCAGCGUGCAGAAGGUAGAAAAUCUUUAUCCUCAAAUUGGCUGGGUAGAAAUUGAUCCUGAUGUUCUUUGGAUUCAAUUUGUUGCCGUAAUAAAAGAAGCAGUCAAAGCUGCAGGAAUACAGAUGAAUCAAAUUGUUGGUCUUGGCAUUUCAACACAGAGAGCAACUUUUAUUACGUGGAACAAGAAAACAGGAAAUCAUUUUCACAACUUUAUAAGUUGGCAAGACUUAAGAGCUGUUGAACUUGUAAAAUCUUGGAAUAAUUCUCUUCUUAUGAAGAUAUUUCACAGUUCUUGCCGAGUGCUUCACUUUUUCACUAGAAGUAAACGACUUUUUACAGCCAGUUUGUUCACUUUCACAACCCAGCAGACUUCUUUGAGAUUGGUCUGGAUUUUACAGAACUUGACUGAGGUGCAAAAGGCAGUUGAAGAAGAAAAUUGCUGCUUUGGGACUAUUGAUACCUGGUUGUUAUAUAAGCUCACAAAAGGUUCUGUAUAUGCCACAGAUUUUUCAAAUGCUAGUACAACUGGACUUUUUGACCCAUAUAAGAUGUGUUGGAGUGGGAUGAUUACCUCUCUAAUUUCGAUACCACUUUCUCUCCUACCUCCUGUGAGGGACACAAGCCACAAUUUUGGAUCAGUGGAUGAAGAGAUAUUUGGUGUGCCUAUACCAAUAGUUGCCUUGUUAAAGGUCCCUGGAUAUGACCAGAAUAUCUGCUAUAUUUUUGGGAAGGGGACCAUUGAGCCAGUAUUCUAUCAUGGAAGUACUUUAUAACCUUUUCUGACUUGCUUGUAUAUUGUUUAUCAGAAAACUUAAAUUAAAAAAAAUUUUUUUUAAUUCUGAGUGGUAUUUAGUUUACAUUUGGUACUCUGAGACAAAACACAGUGAUGGGGCGAAUAUUUAUGUUCUGUUUGAUAAUGUGUAACCACAAACAGUGUUAGGGCAACUUAAACUAGCAGAGAAAGUUGUAUGUACAUUUAAUAAAGUCCUUAGCCAUCAUCUACCAGUAAAUAAGUUUGUAGAAUAAUGAAAUAUUUGCCAUUUUUGAUUUUUUUUUUUUUUUUUGAGACAGGGUCUCACUCUGUCACUCAGGCUGGAGUGCAGUGGUAUAAUCAUGCCUCACUGCAGCCUCGGCUUCCUGGGCUCAGGUGAUUCUUCCACCCCAGCCUCCCAAGUAGCCAAGACCACAGGUGUGUGCCACGACACCUGGCUAAUUUUUUGUAUUUUUGGUAGACAUAGGAUUUUGCUGUGUUCCCCUGGCUGAUCUCGAACUCCUAGACUGGGGCCUUCUGCCACCUUUGCCUCCCAAAGUGCUGGGACUACAGGCAUGAGUCACUGUGCCAAGCCUGUUUUUGAUUUUUAAGAGUCCUUUCACAUUGCCUUUGAUUUCCUGUGGCAGCUUAAGCAGGAGGUAGAGACCACCUGUUGCAAGAUGUGCAGUCUCCACAGUAGCUGGGGGAGCAGCUGAGGGAAAGGGAAUUUAAUUUCCAAGUUACAAAAUCAUUAUCAUUUAGAGAGGAUCGGUCUUAUUCAAUCUAGGCAUAGGUGCAGGGUUAGAUUAAGGUAUGGCUGGAAGAGUUACCAAUUAGUGACAGAGGGUUCUUUAAAUGAGUUGUUGUUGUUGUUGUUGUUUUUGAGAUGGAGUUUCACUCUUGUCUCCCAGACUGGAGUGCAAUGGCAUGAUCUCACCGAUGGCUCACUGUGACCUCCGCCUCUCGGGUUCAAGUGACUCUUCUGCCUCAGCCUCCUGAGUAGCUAGGACUAUAGGUUGCUGACCAGCAAUCAGCCAUGUUUGGAGAGUGCUGCUUCCAGACAGGUGAUGUGAAAUUAACCAUGGGAACUGGGACAUUUUUGGAUAUUAACACUGGAAAUAGCCUUCAACAGACUACUGGAGGCUUUUAUCCAUUAAUUGGGUGGAAGAUUGGGCAAGAAGUCGUAUGCUUAGCUGAAAGCAAUGCAGGAGACACUGGUACUGCCAUAAAAUGGGCUCAGCAGUUAGACCUUUUCACAGAUGCUGCUGAGACUGAAAAAAUGGCCAAAAGUUUGGAGGAUUCUGAAGGAGUUUGUUUUGUUCCAUCUUUUAGUGGAUUACAGGCUCCAUUAAAUGACCCCUGGGCAUGUGCCUCUUUUAUGGGUUUGAAGCCUUCUACCAGUAAAUACCAUCUUGUACGAGCAAUAUUGGAGUCAAUAGCUUUCAGAAACAAACAGUUAUAUGAGAUGAUGAAGAAAGAGAUUCAUAUUCCUGUAAGAAAAAUCCGGGCAGAUGGAGGAGUUUGUAAGAAUGGUUUUGUCAUGCAGAUGACUUCAGACCUGAUUAAUGAGAAUAUAGACAGACCUGCCGACAUUGACAUGUCAUGCCUGGGUGCAGCUUCUCUAGCUGGCCUUGCUGUUGGGUUUUGGACUGACAAGGAGGAACUAAAGAAACUGAGACAAAGUGAAGUGGUUUUCAAGCCACAGAAGAAAUGUCAAGAAUAUGAAAUGAGUCUGGAAAACUGGGCCAAAGCAGUGAAACGCUCCAUGAAUUGGUAUAACAAGACAUAACACUAAAUGAAAUGAUCAAAACCAUAGGUAGCUGGUUUAUGUGACGUGCAGAUGAGAUGAAGCUCAGGGAUAACCCAUAUGACAAUGACUAAGAGGAGAAAAUUUUAAAUAAGCUUCAUAACUUAAGAAGCAUUGCUUUUAAAAAAACAAAACGGAACAAAAAACUCUUAUUUUUUUCCCCUAAACCAUGGUAAGGCAGCAAUACCUCAAAACUUUAUAUCUUCUAUUUUGUAGCAAAUUCCAAAGGACAUUAGUCAUUUCCAACCACAUUUUGACAGUUAUGGGUCCUCUUCCUUUUUAUACUGGGUCAGUGGUACAUAGGAACAUAAUGAUUUACCAUCCAAGCUAAUAGUUCUGGGUCAAGUACCAUGCACAUAUUGUUCCAAAAUUAUGUGAAACGUAUUUCUUUAAUUCUUUAAGUGGGCUAUUUGAAGUACAUAUAGCUAAAAAGAAAGAAUAACUGAGAAAAUGUGGAAUUUUGAAACAUUAAUAUUUUAUGUUUAAAGCCAUAAUUUCCUAAUAUUAUAUCCAAAUAUGAGCUUAAUAUGUCCCUCUCAGAUAAGCUUAUGAGAUAGUUAAUGCUUUCCUUUACUGGUCUUAAAGACACUGCCUUAAUUUUUCCUUGUUCAACCAAAAUCUGAGCAUUCUUUCUAUGUUGAAAACACUGAAAAACUAAUUUUAGUUAAUGAACUAGAAAGAAUAUUGAUUUUUAAGAAACAGAAAAAUACUACUUAUUUUCCUUCUCAAAUAACGUUUCUUUCAAAAACUUCUGGCUGAAGUAUAACAUGCUGGUAGUUAACAUAAAUCUUGUCUUUCUCUUGUUCUUUAUCUUUCUUUGUUAUUUAGAUGCUUGUAUAAAUGUCUUUUGUUUUUAUUAAGUGCCUAAUUGACAGAGCUUAAUUUGAAGAAGUGCCCUAAUUUAUUGACCACUUAAGAAUUGCCUUUAUUGGGGUAUUUUAUUUGUUCCUGCGUCUUUUUGAUGUUUGUUCAGUCUACUCAUCCCUGUGAGUAUGUGUGGGGGACAGCUGAUAGAAGGGAGGAGAGUGUGUCUAUGCUCAGGAUUGCCCUUUAGCCACUCAGCCAGAGAUCCACAGGGAGCAACAAGGACAGUUUCACAUGCUUAGACUUUCUUGGAAGAAACAGUGAGGAGGAGUAAGUCGUGAGUAGUGUCAAGCUGGAUGUAGAAUUGUCCUAAGGCAGUUGACCCCACCUUCCAACAUGUUUUCACUUUAUUUGCCCCUCCCUACAUUUGGGUUAGGUUCCAUUUGGAUUUGCAGCAAUAAUGACUUUAUUUCUCUCUUGGUCAGGAUUUGGCACAUAAAAUCCUUUUAUUAUAGAACUAGCUAUUUUAGUUACAUAGUAAUGUAACUAAUGGAGAGAUUUAUAGAGAAUUUUGUUUUUGCUGUCAUAUAUGUCCAUUUUGGAGACAGAUAUGAUAGAACUAGAAAUUAAGUUGCAUUUCUGCAAGUGCCAUUUGAAUGAACUUCAAGUAUCUUCUUAAUUAUUAAAUUUUCUGAUGAAGGCAUUGUAACAAAUAUAUAGUAUUAUUAAAUCUAAUUAAUAUUUGGAAAUAUUAAUAAAUAGGUAUUUUAUUUACUGUAAAAAGUCAAACUUCAUUAUGUAGAUAAAUCUUAUUCUUUUCAUUCUUUCCCCUGUUUACAUCCUUUUUACAAAGCUUAGUCACCAAUUAAAGCUUUCCUAUCAAAAUCACAUGGAAGCUGCUCUGUUGUUUUACUGUUACACAUUCUGUUUCUCAGUGGGUGUAAUUUUUUUUUCUUUUUCUUUUUUUGUAGAGACAGGGUCUUGCUGUGUUGCCCAGGGUAGUCUUUAAUUCCUGGCCUCAAGUGAUCCUCCCACCUUGGCCUCCCAAAGUGCUGGGAUUGCAGCCGUGAACCACUGCACCCAGCCAAUGGGUGUAAUUUCAUAGGAAAUAAUUCUUUUUGUCAGAAUGUACUGAAUUGUAAUAUUAAUACCUGAAAAUUUGUUAGUUCACUUCUUUUCCACGUUCUUCUUUCCCAACAUAUAACCACAAAAUAAAGGAUAAAUACUUUGGGCUGUGUGCAGUGGCUCAUGCCUGUAAUCCCAGCACUUUGGCAGGCUGAAGUGGGCGGAUCAUUUGAGGUCAGGAGUCCAACCUGGUCAAACACGGUGAAACCCUGUCUCCACUAAAAAUACAAAAAUUAGCUGGAUGUGGUGGUGCAAGCCUGUAAUCCCAGCUACUCGGGAGGCUGAGGCAGGAGAAUUGCUUGAAUCUGGGGGGUGGAAGUUGCAGUGAGCCAAGAUCAUGCCACUGCACUGUAGCCUGGGCAACAGAGCGACACUGCGUCUCAAAAAAAAAAAAAAAGGAUCAAUACUUUUCAGAUAAUGUUGGAAAGUAACUUUGAAUGUCCCUCAUCGGAAUUGAGCAUCUCCUCAAGUGUCAGUGGCUAUUUUUUUCUUCUGUGAAUCUAAAAACUAAUAUUUUAUUUUUAAUAUUUGUGGCCAUUUUUAGUGAUAAGACUUUAAUAAAUAUUUUUGGACUUAACUAAAAUCAGAAACAUGACCACAUUUGCUUUUGUGGUUGCAGAAACAGUUGAUAAGAUCAAUUGAGCAACAAAAUUGUCCUUUCUUUUUUUUUUUUUUUUUUGAGACAUUGUCAUGCUCUGUUGCCCAGGCUGGAGUGCAGUGGCAUGAUCUCGGCUCACUGCAACCUCCCUCUCCUGGGCUCAAGCAGUCCUCCUGCCUCAGCCUCCCAAGUAGCUGGGAUUUCAGGUAUACGUCACUACGCCCAGCUGAUUUUUGUAUUUUUAGUAGAGACAGGGUUUUACCAUGUUGGCCAGGCUGGUCUCAAACUCCUGACCUUGUGACCCACCCACCUCGGCCUCCCAAAGUGCUAGGAUUACAGGCGUGAGCCACCAUGCCUGGCUUGUCCUUUCUGUCUUCCAAGUUUGUUUUUCAUUUGUAUGCUAAUAUUUGAAGUUUAGAAAAAUUUGUGCUACUUCUCAGCAUGUUUUAUUUUCCCAUUAUAGAUCUAUCAGAUAUUUUUAGAAGGUCUGCAACUGUCUGAUAAAGGAAGAGAAUGUUCCUGUUCAAUCUAUCUUAAAGUGCUACUAAUUGCUUUUAUACUAUAGACAUACUGAUUUUUUCAUCUUUUUUAUCCAACCAUGGCAUGGUUUCCUAAUCUCAGCAUUGACAUUUUGGACUGGAUAAAUCUUUAUUUUGGGAUGCUAUGCUGUACUUUAUAGGAUGUUUAGCAAUAUCCCUGACCUCUGCCCUCUAGCUACAAGUACCAUCCCCCUAGUUGUUAUGGCCAAAAAUGUCUUCAAACAUUGCCAUUCUGAGAGGCAAAAUUGCCCCCAGUUGAGAGCCACUGAUACAGGCUGUUAGAAGAAAAUCGAAGACUCAGUGAAUAUAGUGUCAUACUCCUUUUCUUUCUGCCUCAUUUUACCUUAGGAAAUGGUUGUUAGCAAAAAAAUUAGUUAAUCGUAUCUUGAAAUAAAUAGGGUAUCUAUUUUGCUGAUUAAUAAAGAAAAAAUAAAUCUCAGCUGGGCACAGUGGCUCACACCUGUAAUCCUAGCACUUUGGGAGGCCAAGGCAGGCGGAUCACUUCAGCUCAGGAGUUUGAGACCAGCCUGGGCAACCUGGCGAAUCCCUAUCUCUACAAAAAAUACACAAAUUAGCUGGGUGUGGUGACACACACAUAUAGUCCCAGCUAAUUAGGGGGCUGAGGUGGGAAGAUCACUUGAGCUCCAGGAGGUGGAGGCUGCAGUGAGCCAAGUUGGUGUCACUGUACUCUAGCCUGGGUGGCAAAGUGAGACCCUGUCUCAAUCAAUCAAUCAAUCAAUCAAUCAAUAUCUCAUGCUGUAAUUGUCUUCUGAUGUUUUCAUCCACCCAGCCCCACCUCUGCAGCCUUAAUUACUGGAGUAGGUCCAUGAUUUCAGUGUAGGGUUAAUGUAUUCUGCAGAUCAUCUUUGAUUUGACCUGCUUUUUUGCUUCCUUUUUAUCUCUGAACAAAGGAGAUCAUCAUUCUCUUUAAUCUGCCUUCUGUGUAAAUCUCUACCAGACUGGAAGCUCCCUGAAAGCAGAAACUGUCUGCUUCCCCAGAACUUAGCACUGUGCUUUCAUGUAUGUGGGAUAAAUUUUUACUUUGUUAGUGCAACUUUGUUUGUACACGUUAUCCUUGAUAUUACAUACAUUUGUUGAUGGGGGCAAUUUAUAUUUGUUGUGAGUAAAAUACUUUUUUGUUGGAUUAAGAAGAACUAUACUCUUCCCAGCACUUUGGGAGGCCAAGGAGGACGGAUUACCUGAGGUUAGUAGCUUGAGACCAGCCUGACCAACAUGGAGAAACCCCAUCUCUAUUAAAACUACAAAAAAAUUAGCUGUGCGUUGUGGCACAUGCCUGUAAUCCCAGCUAGUCAGGAGGCUGAGGCAGGAGAACCGCUUGAACCCCUGAGGCAGAGGUUGCGGUUGAGCCGAGAUCGCGCCAUUGCACUCCAGCCUGGGCAACAAGAGUUAAACUCCAUUUCAAAAAAACAAAAACAAAAACAAAAACAAAAAAACAAAAGAAGAACUACUCUGUAGUGAGAGCUAGAAUCCUCAUGUUGUUUAUUUAAAAUUUUUGGCCAAGUACAGUGGCUCAUGCCUGUAAUCCCAGCACUUUGGGAGGCUGAGGCCAGAGGAUCACUUGAAGCCAGGAGUUCAGUUACAGCUUGGGCAGCAAAGUGAGACCUUGUCUCUACAAAAAAAUUUUUUUUAAAUUAGCCAGGUGUGGUGGUAUGCCCCUGUAGUCCCAGCUACUCAGGAAACCGAAGCAGGAGAAUCGCUUGAACACAGGAGUUUGAGGGUGCUAUGAGCUAUGAUUGUGCCACUGCACUCCAGCCUGGGCAACAGGGCAAGGCCCUGUCUUAAUAAAAUAAAAUAAAAUUCUUAAUAUGUUUAUAUAUUUGAAAAACUAUUUGUGUAGAGACACAUGUCUGUAAAUACACAUAGAUAUAUUAACUUUUUAAGCUUUAAUUGAAGCCUUUCUCUUCACAGGUUUUAUAUAUUUGACUGCAGAUGACUAACAGAUUGAAUUUUAAGAGUGCGAAACACUCUGGUGCUAUAGGGAAGGAACUUCAUAAAUAGCCCCUCCUGUAAGGGACCAGUCUUUAAUUUAAAACAGUCCAGCCCAGGAAUCUUGCAAGAAUUUUGUAAUUAUUUGAGGAGAGAUGUAGAUAUACCCUGGAGUUCUUUGACUUUAAGUUAUUCUAGAGUCAUCCCAGAGAUGGCCUAGAAGACUUGAAUGUACCCCAAAGGAUUCUGAAUCCCUUUGGGAAAUUUAGACUAUGAUUUUCAGUAAGAAUUAAAAGCCCCAGGAUAAGCGUGGUGGUUCACACCUGUAAUCCCAGCAAUUUGUGAGGCCAAGGCGGGAGGAUCGCUUGAGCUCAGGAGUUCGAGACCAGCCUAGGCAACAUAGUGAGACCCCACCCAUCUCAAUUUAAAAAAAGAGAGAAAAAGGCCAGGUGUAGUGGCUCACGCCUGUAAUCCCAGCACUUUGGGAGGCCAAGGCGGGUGGAUCACCUGAGGUCAGGAGUUCAAGACCAGCCUGAUCAAUAUGGUGAAACCCCAUCUCUACUAAAAAUACAAAAAUUAGCCAGUCCUGAUGGCAUGUGCCUGUGGUCCCAGCGACUUGGGAGGCUGAGACAGGAGAAUUGCUUGAACCCGGGACGUGGAGGUUGCAGUGAGCCGAGAUUGGGCCACUGCAUUCCAGCCUGGGUGAGAGAGCGAGACUCUGUCUCAAAAAAAAAAAAGAGAGAGAGAGAGAGAGAGAGAGAAAGCCCCAAACAUACCUUGGGCCUUUACAACCUACUUGGUCCCAGAAUCGUCUUAUUGUAAACCCAAAGCCAGGUCUUCUGGUUCGAACCAGUCAAAAUGGGUAAUCUAAAAAAGUUAAAUAGAUGAUUCAAAAUCGUGUUGGUGGUUUUUUCUUUUUAAAUCCCCUUUCCAAGUAAAAGGAAUCUUUUUUUUUUUUUUAAGUUUUGAAGCCUCAUAGCCAUAAAUAUUUUGGCACCAGCAUCUAUUGGCACCUAAGUCAUUGGCUGUAUCAUAUUCCCAUGGGACCCUUGUUCCUAGAGGAAUGCAGGAAUGAUCUUGGAGUGGGAAGGACAGAAACAGGUGCUUGCAAAAUCAGAUAUUUCUGAAAUUCUCUGUUAUUCUAUUUCUACUGUCUUUCCCCACUUUACUAUAAAUUUGAUCUGUUAUAAAAUGGCUGUGUUUAGAUAGAUACCCGUGAUGUUUAGGAAACAAAUGAUAUAGAGACUCCCAUUUAAAUGAAUCUUAUCUUUAUAAGAAACAGCCAAACUGUUUUCCAGACUGGCUAUACCAUCUUACAUUCCCACCAGGAAUGUAUGAGUGAUCCAGUUUCUCUGCAUGCUCGCCAGCAUUUGGUGUUGUCACUAUUUCUUAUUUCAACCAUUCUGUUUAUCCUUUUCAGUGAAAUAUCUGUUCAUAUCUUUUGCCCAUUUGCCAAUUGAGGCAGGAGGAUCACUUGAGCCCAGGAGUUCGAGGCUGCAGUGAGAUAUGAUCACUAAAUGUUUGCUUAAUGAGCCAUAUCUUUAAAUAUCUUUUUUAAAGUUUUUAAAAGUCAGUCCAGUGGUUUAUGUGAUUAUGUGGGAUUUUUUAAAUCUUUCCAGGCAAAAUGUGUAUAGCAUUUUGAACAUAUUUACACUGUACUGAGCCCAAGAGUUCUCAUAUUCUUUCUUUGCUCAUUAUAGAGUAUGGUACUAAUACUGUAUAAUAGUAAAUUUUCAAAGAUACCUUUAUUUAGAAUGUUAGAGUAUACAGAUAUAUACUUUGUACAUAGUUAUCAUAAUGUUUCUAACCUUUUUAUUUAAAGCAGGCUGAUUUGUGUAAAGGUUUCAGAAUGAUUUUGUUAAUAAGUUAUUAGAAACUUUCCUAUUUGUACAAGAUGGUAAAUGUAGAUUCCAAUUUGUAUGCCUCAGUAAAUUCAUAAUCUUAUUUCUCUGAUGUGAGCCACUGUGCCUGGCCUUCUGUGAUGCUCUUAAUGAAUUUUGCAGUUUUAUUAAAUUGUCAUUGAGAACCUCAUAAAUCAUUGUUAAGAUCUAUACAAAAAAUCAAGGAUCCACAGUAAUAGAAUAUUUUUCAUCUGCAUAUGAAUUUUUCCCUUCCCUUUUUGUCUACUUUUAGAUUUAAAAAAAAUUACCAGGACAUUCUUAUUAAAUACUAUUACCUGUUUUGGUUUCUGCACAUUAAGAAAGUCACAGAGAAGCCAGACACAGUGGCAUGCUCUUCUAUUCCCAGCUACUCAGGAGGCUGAGGCUGGAGAAUCACUUGAGCCCAGGAGUUUGAGGAUAUCCUGGGCAACAUGGUGAAACUUGGCAAAAACAAAAACAAGGCCGGGCAUGGUGGCUCACACGUGUAGUCCCAGCACUUUGGGAGGCCACGGCUGGCGGAUCACGAGGUCAGGAGAUCGAGACCAUCCUGGCUAACAUGGUGAAACCCUGUCUCUACUAAAAAUACAAAAAAUUAGCCAGGCGUGGUGGCGGGUGCCUGUACUCCCAGCUACUCGGGAGGCUGAGGCAAGAGAAUGGCAUGAACCCAGGAGGCGGAGCUUGCAGUGAGCUGAGAUCGCGCCACUGCACUCCUGCCUGGGUGACAGAGUGAGACUCCAUCUCAAAAAAAAAAAACAAAAACAACAACAACAACAACAAAAAACAACCAGAGAAAUAGCACUUGUUAACUACAAUUGUGACUCUAGGUAAACUUGGGCCUUAAUAUGGUUAGACAAGAAGGGUUUUAGGUAACUUGCCUUUUUAGAUCCUAUUUAGGCUUAUUAGUCUAUAUUCUACAUUCUUGCACGAUGGAAAUUACUAGAGAAGUGGGAUAAUUCUUUGUUGUGGGGAAAAUAAAAUUUGUUGUGAAAAUAUACUGUAUUUUAAAAUAUUUAGAAAGAUUAUAAAUAACUGGAGAAAAGAUAAUUUCAUAUACUAAUAUGAUGGAAUUAGCCUAGCAGAUGUUAAAAAUCCUUUCUGAAAAUUAUAAUCUAAAAUUAUUUGGGAAAUUACAAUGGAACUGAAUAAUCUGUACGUUGGUAUAUUAAAGCCAUUUUUAUAUUGUG